rnacentral:rRNA from 1 species
AUUGAACGCUGGCGGCAUGCUUUACACAUGCAAGUCGAACGGUAACAGGCCGCAAGGUGCUGACGAGUGGCGAACGGGUGAGUAAUGCAUCGGAACGUGCCCAGUCGUGGGGGAUAACGCAGCGAAAGCUGCGCUAAUACCGCAUACGAUCUAUGGAUGAAAGCGGGGGACCGUAAGGCCUCGCGCGAUUGGAGCGGCCGAUGUCAGAUUAGGUAGUUGGUGGGGUAAAGGCUCACCAAGCCAACGAUCUGUAGCUGGUCUGAGAGGACGACCAGCCACACUGGGACUGAGACACGGCCCAGACUCCUACGGGAGGCAGCAGUGGGGAAUUUUGGACAAUGGGCGCAAGCCUGAUCCAGCAAUGCCGCGUGCAGGAAGAAGGCCUUCGGGUUGUAAACUGCUUUCGUACGGAACGAAACGGUCCUGGUUAAUACCUGGGGCUAAUGACGGUACCGUAAGAAUAAGCACCGGCUAACUACGUGCCAGCCGCCGCCGUAAAAC